rnacentral:rRNA from 1 species
AUUAAACUGAAGAGUUUGAUCCUGGCUCAGAUUGAACGCUGGCGGUAUGCUUAACACAUGCAAGUCGAACG